rnacentral:tRNA from 1 species
GGGAGUGACGACGCUGGUGUGUCACCGGACUGUAAAUCCGGGUGCGGAAACGCAUGGCAGGUUCGAUCCCUGCCACUCCCA